CCUACGGGUGGCUGCAGUGGGGAAUAUUGCACAAUGGGGGAAACCCUGAUGCAGCAACGCCGCGUGAGCGAUGAAGGCCUUCGGGUCGUAAAGCUCUGUCCUAAGGGAAGAAUACUGACGGUACCUUAGGCGGAAGCCCCGGGUAACUACGUGCCAGCAGGCGCGGUAAUACGUAGGGGUCUAGCGUUAUCCGGAAUUACUGGGCGUGACGGGUGCGUAGGUGGGCCGUCAAGUCGGCGGUGAACGGCUAAGGCUCAACCGUAGUAAGCCUUUGAAACUGUAGGGCGUGGGUGCAGGAGAGGAGAGUGUAAUACCCAGCGUAGAAGUGAAAUGCGUAGAUAUCGGGAAGAACGCCAGUUGCGAAGGUGGCUCUCGGGAUAGGACCUGAGGCCGAAGCACGAAAGCGUGGGGAGCGAACAGGAUUAGAUACCCGAGUAGUC
rnacentral:rRNA from 1 species